rnacentral:SRP_RNA from 1 species
UUCUUAGACCUGUGCAAUGCUAUUAUUUUUAAGCACCGCUUCAGGGUGGGAACACAGCAGAGCACUUGAUUUUAGUGUGUGCCGCAGUUAUCUGGGGAAGG